AACGAACGCUGGCGGCGUGGCUAAGACAUGCAAGUCGAACGAACUAUCCAAUUGGGUAACUGACUGGAUAGUUAGUGGCGAAAGGGUGAGUAAUGGAUAGGUAACGUACCCUGUGCUCCCGGAUAGCGUCAUUCGCCUUCGGGCGAAUUUCCGAAAGGGGCGGUAAUACAGGAAAUGUCAUCCGUCGACAGACGAAUGACCAAAGAUUAUUUCGGCACUGGAGCGGCCUAUCUCCUAUCAGCUUGUUGGUGAGGUAAUGGCUCACCAAGGCAGCGACGGGUAGCGGGGCUGAGAGGUCGGCCCGCCACAUCGGGACUGAGACACUGCCCGGACCUCCACGGAGGGCUGCAGUAACGAAUAUUGGGCAAUGGGCGAAAGCCUGACCCAGCGACGCCGCGUGCGGGAUGAAGUCUUUCGGGAUGUAAACCGCUGUCAGGGGUAAGAAAGUCCGCCUCGGCGGAUUGAUCUAACCCAAAGGAAGUCACGGCUAACUUCGUGCCAGCAGCCGCGGUAAGACGAAGGUGGCAAGCGUUGUUCGGAAUCACUGGGCUUAAAGAGCGCGUAGGCGGAACAAUAAGCGUCCUGUGAAAUCCCCCGGCUUAACCGGGGAACGGCUGGGCGAACUGCUGUUCUUGAGGCAAGCAGGGGUGCGUGGAACUCUUGGUGGAGCGGUGAAAUGCGUAGAUAUCAAGAGGAACGCCGGUGGAGAAAUCGGCGCACUGGGCUUGCUCCGGCAGAAACGCUUCGGCGUUUUUGGCCCUCUGACGCUGAGGCGCGAAAGCGUGGGGAGCGAACGGGAUUAGAUACCCCGGUAGUCCACGCCGUAAACGAUGCCUACUAGGUUGCGGGAGCUUCUGACGUUCUCGCGGCCGAAGCAAAAGCGUUAAGUAGGCCGCCUGGGGAGACGGUCGCAAGGCU
rnacentral:rRNA from 1 species